rnacentral:rRNA from 1 species
CCUACGGGAGGCUGCAGUGGGGAAUAUUGGACAAUGGGGGGAACCCUGAUCCAGCCAUGCCGCGUGUGUGAAGAAGGCCCUCGGGUUGUAAAGCACUUUCAGUGAGGAAGAACGCCUGGUGGUUAAUACCCAUCAGGAAAGACAUCACUCACAGAAGAAGCACCGGCUAACUCCGUGCCAGCAGCCGCGGUAAUACGGAGGGUGCGAGCGUUAAUCGGAAUUACUGGGCGUAAAGCGCGCGUAGGUGGCUUGAUAAGCCGGUUGUGAAAGCCCCGGGCUCAACCUGGGAACGGCAUCCGGAACUGUCAAGCUAGAGUGCAGGAGAGGAAGGUAGAAUUCCCGGUGUAGCGGUGAAAUGCGUAGAGAUCGGGAGGAAUACCAGUGGCGAAGGCGGCCUUCUGGACUGACACUGGCACUGAGGUGCGAAAGCGUGGGUAGCAAACAGGAUUAGAUACCCCGGUAGUC